rnacentral:tRNA from 1 species
AGGUGAUUGGCGCCCAGCUCAGUAGCGCACUUCGUUUCGGGACGAAGGGGUCCGGGUUCGAAUCCUCUAUCACCGACCA